AAAAGUGGAAAGACCUAAUAAUGAUAAUAAUAAUAGUCAGCUAUAAGAGAACCCGAAAUUCAAACGAGAAAAAACAUAAAAUGUUAAACACAGCAACAAACGACAACAACUAAAUUACAGGCUCUUAACUUGGGACCGGUACACCAUGUGGCACUGUUAAAGAUAUAAGCGGGAGCCCAACCCUCCCCACAACAUUGGACAAUGGUUUAACAAUAAAACUUGAAUAAAAAUCCAUUGAAACAGGCUGAACUCAUCAGAUGGAUACAAAUAGAAAUACAUUAAACAAAAACACAGAGUGGACGUGGGCGGGUACUUGUACAUCCAAACAACAACAAGGCCGUAAGAGAAUAUCUGAAAGUACUCGGAGUUACUUAUCGCUAGUUCAAAGCCAAUAACAACUCAUAAAAAAAAUCUUUCCAAAUACACUAAGUUUCGAUUUGAUACAUAACCUGUAUACAUUAAAUAAAAUAUUAAUAUAAAUUUAUAAAUGUUAAGAUUUUGUUGCUUAUUCUUACGAGGGUUGCAUAGAUCGGUGCAGCCCAUUUGCGCCUAAAAAUCCUUACGUUUGCUAGCGCUUUUGGUUACAUUUGCGCACAGCUUUUGGGUUUAAAUUGACAGCGAUGAACUGUAACACCAAACCAGGCACUUCAUAUCCGAGAAACAGGCUAUAUAUGCCCUCAAUUUUAGAAUUCAUUGAUAGAUUUUUUUUAUUAUACAAAAUAAUCAGUACAUUGGGUGUUCUACAAGGAUCACUUGUCCUUCACCUUUUAUUUGAGACCUUAAUUAUCAAAAUGUAUGCUACAUAUACUUUAAGAUUUACACCGGUGCGUAUGAACUAUUUUGUUUUGAAUAUGUUCUACUUUCCCGUAUGUUCUCUAUUGACCGGGCGUGAUUAAGUGAUGAAUCAUAUUUUAAAGUUUUAUUCAAAGAAUUACGCUCAAGCCGGUGCUAGGGGCCGUAGUAAACUUUCAGUGAGGUGAGAGCUUUUUUGCGCCGUGUUGAAGGCCUCACUGUGACUUUGAGAUAAAGAACAGCAAUACAAGCGCUGUUCUUUUGCUUUUUGUGUGUUUUUAUUUGUUGUGCAUGUACUGAUUAUGCGUCAUCAAUAGACACCCUACGUCCUUUGUUUUUCUAUUGUAAAGUUCAAAGUAAUAAAGAAUUUGGUUACAUUUGUGCGCAUCUAUUCAGGAACAUAUGUUUUGUAAGACAUACUGUUCCAAGAUCUAUUUUAUAUGUAAACCACAGUUAAAUUGUACCUUUUAUAUCGUUAAAAAUUUUUCAUUCUUAAAUUUUCGAUUCAGUAACUUCUAUGUUUGGAAAGAGGAUACAAUAACGCUCUUCAAUAUACUCUAUUUCAAAAGUUACAAGUAUGACAAAAUAAUACAAA
rnacentral:lncRNA from 1 species